UGAGCGGAAGCCGAAAAGCUCUGAUUGAGUAGGCG
ncrna:unclassified sequences DTF805b RNA